rnacentral:rRNA from 1 species
AUUGAACGCUGGCGGCAGGCUUAACACAUGCAAGUCGAGCGGAGAUGAGGUGCUUGCACCUUAUCUUAGCGGCGGACGGGUGAGUAAUGCUUAGGAAUCUGCCUAUUAGUGGGGGACAACAUUCCGAAAGGAAUGCUAAUACCGCAUACGUCCUACGGGAGAAAGCAGGGGAUCUUCGGGCCUUGCGCUAAUAGAUGAGCCUAAGUCGGAUUAGCUAGUUGGUGGGGUAAAGGCCUACCAAGGCGACGAUCUGUAGCGGGUCUGAGAGGAUGAUCCGCCACACCGGGACUGAGACACGGCCCAGACUCCUACGGGAGGCAGCAGUGGGGAAUAUUGGACAAUGGGGGAAACCCUGAUCCAGCCAUGCCGCGUGUGUGAAGAAGGCCUUAUGGUUGUAAAGCACUUUAAGCGAGGAGGAGGCUACUGAGACUAAUACUCUUGGAUAGUGGACGUUACUCGCAGAAUAAGCACCGGCUAACUCUGUGCCAGCCGCCGCCGUAA